GUGAACGCUGGCGGUAGGCCUAACACAUGCCAGUCGAACGGCAGCACAGUAAGAGCUUGCUCUUACGGGUGGCGAGUGGCGGACGGGUGAGGAAUACAUCGGAAUCUACUUUUUCGUGGGGGAUAACGUAGGGAAACUUACGCUAAUACCGCAUACGACCUACGGGUGAAAGCAGGGGAUCUUCGGACCUUGCGCGAUUGAAUGAGCCGAUGUCGGAUUAGCUAGUUGGCGGGGUAAAGGCCCACCAAGGCGACGAUCCGUAGCUGGUCUGAGAGGAUGAUCAGCCACGCUGGACCUGAGACACGGUCCAGACUCCUACGGGAGGCAGCAGUGGGGAAUAUUGGACAAUGGGCGCAAGCCUGAUCCAGCCAUACCGCGUGGGUGAAGAAGGCCUUCGGGUUGUAAAGCCCUUUUGUUGGGAAAGAAAAGCAGCAGGUUAAUACCCCGCUGUUCUGACGGUACCCAAAGAAUAAGCACCGGCUAACUUCGU
rnacentral:rRNA from 1 species